rnacentral:pre_miRNA from 1 species
UGGCUAUAAAAUAACUUAUUUUGUAGCCACUUUGAGUUACGAUAAUUACUAUAUUAAUUUAUAAGAUUAUAGUAACUCCUUACUAAAUGGUAUCCUAAAUAUGUAUACAUAUUAUCAUAAAUUAGUAUAUAAAAUUAUUGUAAAUAGAGAUGACUAUAAAAUAACAUAUUUUGUAGUUA